GGACUACUGGGGUAUCUAAUCCUGUUUGCUCCCCACGCUUUCGCGUCUCAGCGUCAGUCACUGUCCAGAAGGCCGCCUUCGCCACCGGUGUUCCGCUUGAUAUCUACGAAUUUCACCUCUACACCAAGCAUUCCACCUUCCUCUCCAGGACUCUAGCUAUGCAGUUUCGAGUGCACUUCCACGGUUGAGCCGUGGGAUUUCACGCCCGACUUACUUAGCCGCCUACACGCGCUUUACGCCCAGUAAUUCCGAACAACGUUUGCACCCUCUGUCUUACCGCGGCUGCUGGCAC
rnacentral:rRNA from 1 species